GAUGAAUGCUGGCGGCGUGCCUAACACAUGCAAGUCGAGCGGCAGCGAGGGGUGCUUGCACCCUGUCGGCGAGCGGCGAACGGCUGAGUAACGCGUAGGAAUUUGCCCCAAAGUGAGGAAUAACUGCCCGAAAGGGUAGCUAAUGCCGCAUAUGGUCUUCGGAUUAAAGGAUUUAUCCGCUUUGGGAGAAGCCUGCGUUGGAUUAGGUUGUUGGUAGGGUAAUGGCCUACCAAGCCGACGAUCCAUAGCUGGUCUGAGAGGAUGAUCAGCCAGACUGGAACUGCGACACGGUCCAGACUCCUACGGGAGGCAGCAGUGAGGAAUCUUCCACAAUGGGCGAAAGCCUGAUGGAGCAACGCCGCGUGAAGGAUGAAGGCCUUCGGGUUGUAAACUUCUUUUAUGAGUGAAGAAUAUGACGGUAACUCGUGAAUAAGCACCGGCUAACUACGUG
rnacentral:rRNA from 1 species